GCAUCGGUAGUUCGGUGGAAGAGUGCUUGCCUGGCACGCGGACAACCAGGGUUCGAUUCCCGGCCAAUGCA